AGCGGCAGCCUUAACAUGCAGUCGAACGGUAGCACGGCUUAACCUGGGGGCGAGUGGCGAACGGGUGAGUAAUAUAUCGGAACAUGCCCCCGAGUGGGGGAUAACGAACCGAAAGUUACGCUAAUACCGCAUACGCGAUCUGGUGGAAAGUGGGGGAUCGCUAGACCUCUUGCUCAUGGAGUGGCCGAUAUCUGAUUAAUUAGUUGGUGAGGUAAAGGCUCACCAAGGCGACGAUCUGUAGCUGGUCUGAGAGGACGACCAGCCACACUGGAACUGAGACACGGUCCAGACUCCUACGGGAGGCAGCAGUGGGGAAUUUUGGACAAUGGGGGCAACCCUGAUCCAGCAAUGCCGCGUGAGUGAAGAAGGCCUUCGGGUUGUAAAGUUCUUUUGUCCGGGAAGAAACGGUGAUCUCUAAUAUAGAUUGCUAAUGACGGUACCUGAAGAAUAAGCACCGGCUAACUACGUGCCAGCAGCCGCGGUAAUACGUAGGGUGCAAGCGUUAAUCGGAAUUACUGGGCGUAAAGCGUGCGCAGGCGGUUAUAUAAGACAGAUGUGAAAUCCCCGGGCUCAACCUGGGAACUGCAUUUGAGACUGCAUGGCUAGAGUGUGGCAGAGGAGGGGUGGAAUUCCACGUGUAGCAGUGAAAUGCGUAGAUAUGUGGAGGAAUACCGAUGGCGAAGGCAGUCCCCCUGGGAUAACACUGACGCUCAUGCACGAAAGCGUGGGGAGCAAACAGGAUUAUAUACCCCUGGUAGUCCACGCCCUAAACGAUGUCUACUAGUUGUCGGGGUCUUCAUUUGUCUCGGUAACGCAGCUAACACGUGAAGUAGACCGCCUGGGGAGUACGGNCGCAGAUUAAAACUCACAGGAGUUGUCGGGGGACCCGCACCACGCGCGGGAUGAUGUGGAUUAUUUCGAUGCUACGCGNAAACCUUANCUACC
rnacentral:rRNA from 1 species